GCUCCUGGGACAGGAUACUGUCUGG
rnacentral:piRNA from 1 species